CGGCGCGGUCUAUGAGCGCCAGGUCCCUUCGGAAACCAGAUAAGAACACGAGGAACGGGAAGACGAGCGCGUUGAAUGAGAACACAGCGCUGCGCGUCCGGUUGCGCGGCCACCCCGCCCUGCGCGCCCCGGAGUUUUCAUAAUAACUUGAGUUCAACAACUUUGGAAACAAUUAAAACUCCUCUGCCCUCAUCUGGCCCCACCUGCAGCGCUGCAUCCAGGCCUGGAGCCCUCAGUACAAGAAGGGCGCGGAGCUGUGGGUCCCCCAUCCCUGGAGGUGCAGAAGGAGCAUGGAGGUUGGAUGGAGCAUCUUGAGCUGGUGGGGGGCACCCAGCCCAUGGCAGCGGGUUGAAAUGGAUGGGCUUUAAGCUCCCUUUCAACCCCAAACCACGCUAUGAUUCUACAAAAAUGACUAAAUCACAAUCGCUGAAAGCUCCUGCCCCGACAAGCCCCGUUAUUAAUUAGCUCAGUGUUUGCUAACACAGGCUACCACACGCCAUGGGGUGGUAGAGCUGAUACAGACUCAAGCCCAGAUGCUGACUUACAGCGGGAAGCAGCUCCCCAGCAGCUCAGCACAAAUGGAUCUAGAAGGUGCCCCAUGAGCCGCUGACAGCGGCUGUGACACCUCACCCAGCCCUGGCAUCCGCGACCAUCCAUAAAGUGACUCAGCGAAUUAAUAAAAUAUAGAUGACGAAGCAUACAUUUUUAUUAUAGAAUAAUUUCGCGAUAACCAAGUAAUGCGGAUGCUUCCAAGCAUAAGAUUAAAUUACAUGCUGAGCAAAUCUGGCAUUUUGUGAUAAACUGCAAAAAUAGUCCUUGCAACUGAGGAAGAACAUUGCUGACAUCGCCCAUAAACUUGUUUUAUAAAGCAUAACCAAAAGUAACAAAAAAGAAGUCACUGAAGUGAUGGUUGGAAAAUUCACUACCAUAUCCUCUAUAAUUACUUUCGAGACUUGCUCUGCAGUUUAUUCCCUCAAAUACAUUGCUCGGUGUCAGAAGUUGACAAAACUCUCCCCAGUGCAGGAGAAUAUUAGAGCCAAAUUAAUUCCUUAACUGAUCCGACAUCAGCCAUCGUUGUUUUGGGAAUGCACAAAGAUGGCCUUCAAACAUUGCUCUUAUAGCAGGACAUCCAUUGCUUCCUGGAGUUGUACUGUCACAAUGGCACCACUUCAGAACUGUACGGAGUCCCUGGGUAUUUUAUGUGCCUAAGAUACACAACUCCCAUGGACUUCCCAGCUAAACACAGGACACGAGGUCUUUCCCAUCCUUCUUGCUAACUAAUAAGUAAUGCAGGCUUAAUUCUGAGAUGCUGUCAUGAAACAAAAAUCAAAUAGAGCCUAUGUGAUAGAAAACAGCAUUUGUUUCUAUUAGAUCCAUUACGAACUGAAUUCCUGUUUUAAACCAAAUGACAUUUAAUAAUAUAUUAAACACGUAAACAGGAACAUAUUUGAAGUUAUAACCUCAUCAGCUCUUUUCUUCUGACAUUCAUUUUCUCCAAGGCCAUCUCCACAUUUCAAUUUAAUCGCUUAUAGAACAUCGCUAAGUUAAUAAGCAGACAUGGUACCUUAAAAAUGGCUUCCUCCCUGGGUAGGCUGCUGUCUUCCUUAACUACAGCAAUUUAGAUUGAUAAAAAAAAACACCAUAAAUCUGUUCUCUGGCAUAUUGUGAGCAACUUGAAGUUUAUUCUAAGAUGUUCUUUUUUCCUUCAAGAUGCAGUAUUUUUUAUUUGGGAAACAUAACCAAUUAUUCCUGCUUACAAAGGACCGUUUGUUUCAAGAUUUUUACACAUUUUCUGCACGGUGAUCAUUUCAUUUCUCAAGAAAAUACCCACAUUGCUACGAAUCUUUGCAGCCACCAAAGCACGACUCAAGCAGCAGCAGUGCAUAUUUUAGAGACACAGCAAACAGGACAAGUUUCAGAACUACACCCACCACCCUCAAGACAAGACGAGGCGAGAGCAUUUUUCCUUGCCAUAAAUUACCACUGCCUCCUAUAAGCAAUUAUUUAACUUCUAAAAUAGCUGCAACGCAGACAAAUUACAAGGCUGUAAUUACGCAAAUGAAUCCCUAAUACUAUAUGCACCCAUACAUAUAUGUAUAUCUUCAUCUAUUCUAAAAUGUAUCUGUAUGCAUAAUGUCAAGAAUUAUAAUCAUGUAUUACCUGGGACAUAUUUACCUUCUCUCUCCAGAUGAUGAUGUUUCUAUCCUAAAUAUCUCAAAACCAUUUCAGUAGUCAAAAAUGCCCACUGCUGCUCUCUACCCACAUGGCACCUCCCCAGUACCUGGAUGCUGGAUGUAUUGGCAGCAUCUUGCACAGCUGAUCAGUUCUCGGCUGCUCUGGAUGCAGGACACUGUGCUGGACAGUGCUUACGGUCUGAUAUCUUAAGUCAUGGCAUGAAAACAAACUUAAAUUUGAACGUUCCUGAACUAUUCUGCCAUAGUCUGAAAGGACACUUUGUCAGGUCUUGGUGGGAAAACAACUUCUGUCAAAGGAGCAACUCUUCCACUCAGUCUCCAUCUCAACAAGAAGUGAAUCACAGAAUCAUAGAAGUGCUGCCCUUCUCUUGCUGAUGUAUCACAUUUAUCAGAUAUUCAUCUCAGACACCAGACAAUACAGCGGAUCUCUAACAGAACCACUGCUUUAAGGUCACUUAACCUUCACACCUACUUGUUUGCUCAGGGCUCGUACUACUGCUCACUGAAUUAGGGUAUGACAUAAGAGGUAACACCAUGGAGAAGUCUAAAGGGUAGGUUAGGCAAUCUCUGUAUGCUCAGUGGUUUGAGUAUUUCUUUUAUUCACUUCCUAAAACACCAGAUUUACAGCAUUCAUCAUGCAAUGAAUAUUACAUAACAACGAUCUCGGGUGACCUUUUACUUAAGUAUUCCUUAACAUUACUCUUGGCACUCUUACAGGGCUUUAAAAUGCCAGAUUCCCACAUAUCUGUGUUUUCUGGGGAAAUUCAAUAAAAAGAUGGCAAUCUAA